rnacentral:rRNA from 1 species
UACGUAGGGGGCUAGCGUUGUCCGGAAUCACUGGGCUUAAAGCGUGUGUAGGCGGAUUGGUAAGUACUUUGUGAAAUCCCACGGCUCAACCGUGGAACUGCUGGGCAUACUGCGGGUCUUGGGCCAACUAGGGGCAGCCGGAACAAGCGGUGGAGCGGUGAAAUGCGUAGAUAUCGCUUGGAACGCCGAAGGUGAAAACAGGCUGCUGGGGUUGCGCCGACGCUGAGACACGAAAGCCAGGGGAGCAAACGGG